UUUCUGGUAGCUCAAUUGGUUAGAGCGUAAGGUUGUUAACCUUACGGUUACAAGUUCAAUCCUUGUUCAGAAAG
rnacentral:tRNA from 1 species